AUGCUCUAAAACUUUCUGAUUUGCGAGAUGUGGUCGGCAAAUCUUCCGGUUGUUCGACGCCUCUGCUGCCAUUACGUCUACAUCCACCGCCGAUUCAGUGGUGAUUUUGAAAGCAUUUCGAUGUGAAGCAACUUUUGGAGUCAGAUUUGAGACUAAUUUCACUCUUCUGAUCUCGAAUAAUUCGUCAAAGGUGUUUCAUUCGACCAAUCAGAUAAAGAUCUUUUCUGCUUGGUGAAGUGGCGAAUAUGUCGGCGAAAUUGAAGCAGUGUAAGCUUGAUGCUCGCCGUGAACAAUGGCUUUCGCAAGAGAAGUAGGGGAGUUUCUUAGUGGUGCUUUGGCUGGGGCUAUGUCGAAAGGCGGUUUUGGCACCUCUUGAAACCAUCAGGUACUAGGAAACUGCAAUCUCCAUCUAUGAUGAGUAUGGAAAAACAAAUAAGAUGUGGUCAUCAAUAACCGCUGCUCAAGGAAGUUGUGUCAUAUAAAUGUAGAGCAAGCUAAUCACAAGGGUCUAACCCUGACUUUGAUUAAGGCUGGGUGCCAUGGUCCUCUUAAAGAGGGAGCCUCAUAUCUCUAGAACAAAUGAAAUAGACUCUGGCUGGUAACCUAAUAUCCACUGCAUCACCAAUCUUGAAGAAAGGCUUAGCUGAAGGGCUUUUCUGAGUUGUCAGCUUGAUUAGAUUCAUGAUUUUAACGUUCAAUUGUCUUUGGAUUUCUUGGUUGUUAAAAGUUAAGUAUUGUCGUUCAACAAUCUAUUUAAAUCGUCAUAUCUAUUUUCAUUUAUCAUAUUGGCCAUAUGUUCAUGCUUCGGUAUUUCUCCUGUCCAUUCUUCCUACAAAUUAAUUUUCUAUUAAUAAGUUGUCUAGAUUCAGAAUUGCCUGUUGUAAUAAGUUGACAGUAUAGUGUCAUGUCCUGUCUGUUAGAUGUUAAUAGAACCAUCAUCUGAUUUUCACUUUGUUGAAUAUGUAGGCUGGGAUAUCAUCAGGGGCUAAUACAAUUGUUGCCCUUGAACUUGGUAAGAGGCCGGAAAACAAGGGGCAAAUUCUCAAAUCCUUCGCGUAAAAUGUAGAUUAAAAUUGUCUACUCUGUGUAUCUUUGAUGCGUUUUUUUAUUUAUUUUAGCUUUUUUUUGUGAAAAAAGGAGAGUAGAAAACGAUUGUCUAAUGUAACAAUUCUAUACUAUAAAACAAAAGAGAAAUACUUCGUAUUAAAUAUGGUAAAAUGUUGUGUACUCAUUGUUCGAUUCUAGAAAGAGAAUAGAGAACGAUGAAGUCAAAAGUGGACGUAAAA